CCAGCGCAGUUGUAGAUCAGUAGCGAGUUGAACAUGCUGAGCAAAGUGUCACUUUGAGAUAGGAACGGUUAUAUUUCACUUCAGAAAAGCUCUGUGCACAGUAAAUUAACGCAGUCAGGACGUGGUGCAUGGUUUUGAAACGAGGUUUUGGUGACAAACGUUAGCCGAAACUAUAUCUCUGCACGCGGGGUUCCGUGUCUGCAAUUAGGUCAGCUGAAGAGGGCUGCAGUGAAAGAACAGCAUGAACCUGACAUCCAUACAUGGUUGACAUGCGGAAGUGGAAGUCUGUUCAGGUGAUGUCCUUACACAACUACAACUGCUCAAAAAAAUAAAGGGAACACUUAAACAGCACAGUGUAUCUCCAAGUCAGUCACGCUUCUGUGAAAUCAAACUGUCCACUUAGGAAGCAACACUGAUUGAAAAUCAGUUUCACAUGCUGCUGUGCAAAUGAAAGGAUGUGUCACUUUAGUACUUGACU